ACUGGCCCAGACGGUAAGGCGUCUGCCUGCAGUGCGGGAGACCCAGGUUCAAUCCCUGGGU
rnacentral:tRNA from 1 species